rnacentral:tRNA from 1 species
GGAGCUUUAGCUCAAUUGGUUAGAGCAGCGGACUCAUAACCCGCGGGUUCCGGGUUCAAGUCCCGGAGGCUCCA